GGCAGCUUACCAUGCAGUCGAGCGGUAACAGGGGGUGCUUGCACCCCGCUGACGAGCGGCGGACGGGUGAGUAAUGCAUAGGAAUCUGCCCAGUAGUGGGGGAUAGCCCGGGGAAACCCGGAUUAAUACCGCAUACGUCCUUCGGGGGAAAGCAGGGGAUCUUCGGACCUUGCGCUAUUGGAUGAGCCUAUGUCGGAUUAGCUAGUUGGUGGGGUAAAGGCCUACCAAGGCGACGAUCCGUAGCUGGUCUGAGAGGAUGAUCAGCCACAUCGGGACUGAGACACGGCCCGAACUCCUACGGGAGGCAGCAGUGGGGAAUAUUGGACAAUGGGGGCAACCCUGAUCCAGCCAUGCCGCGUGUGUGAAGAAGGCUUUCGGGUUGUAAAGCACUUUCAGUGAGGAGGAAAACCUUCUGGUUAAUACCCAUGAGGCUUGACGUUACUCACAGAAGAAGCACCGGCUAACUCCGUGCCAGCAGCCGCGGUAAUACGGAGGGUGCAAGCGUUAAUCGGAAUUACUGGGCGUAAAGCGCGCGUAGGUGGUUUGAUAAGCGAGAUGUGAAAGCCCCGGGCUUAACCUGGGAACGGCAUUUCGAACUGUCAGGCUAGAG
rnacentral:rRNA from 1 species